rnacentral:rRNA from 1 species
GACGAACGCUGGCGGCGUGCCUAACACAUGCAAGUCGAGCGGGGUUGAAGCGAGGGGUAACUCGAGUUUCUACCUAGCGGCGGACGGGUGAGUAACGCGUGGGCAACCUGCCUCAAGGACUGGGAUAACAGCUCGAAAGGGCUGCUAAUACCGGAUAAGCCUAUGGCCUCGCAUGGGGCCAUGAGCAAAGGGGAAACCCGCCUUGAGAUGGGCCCGCGUCCCAUCAGCUAGUUGGUGAGGUGAAGGCUCACCAAGGCGACGACGGGUAGCCGGCCUGAGAGGGUGACCGGCCACACUGGGACUGAGACACGGCCCAGACUCCUACGGGGGGCAGCAGUGGGGAAUCUUGCACAAUGGGCGAAAGCCUGAUGCAGCGACGCCGCGUGAGCGAAGAAGGCCUUCGGGUUGUAAGCUCUGUCUGGAGGGACGAAGGAAGUGACGGUACCUCCGGAGGAAGCCACGGCUAACUACGUGCCAGCAGCCGCGGUAACUGUAGUCGU